AUAUCAGUCAUGCAUAGCAUAUCAAUAAGCGGAGGAAAAGAAACUAACAAGGAUUCCCCUAGUAACGGCGAGUGAAGCGGGAAGAGCUCAAAUUUGAAAUCUUAAAGGGUUUCCCUUUACGAAUUGUAGUUUAAAGAAGUGUUUUCUGUUGAGGUUUUGGUAAAAGUUCUUUGGAAUAGGACAUCAUAGAGGGUGAGAAUCCCGUAUUUGACCUUUACUUUCAACUUUGUGAUACACUUUCAAAGAGUCGGAUUGUUUGGGAAUGCAGUCCAAAAUGGGUGGUAAAUUUCAUCUAAAGCUAAAUAUUGGCGAGAGACCGAUAGCGAACAAGUACCGUGAGGGAAAGAUGAAAAGAACUUUGAAAAGAGAGUUAAACAGUACGUGAAAUUGUCAAAAGGGAAGCGUUUGACACCAGUGUUGUUUUUCUGAAAAUCAAUUAAAGAACUGUUUAUGCUAAGUUGUUUAGACUUUAUCAGCUAACUGUUUAGUUUUGAGCUUUUCUUUAAUGCACUUUUCAGUUAACAAGUCAACAUCAAUUUCUUUUGCUGUAAAAAAGCUUGAGGAAGGUGGCUUGAGAUUCGUCUUAAGUGUUUAUAGCCUCUUGCCUAUGCAGUCGGAGAGAUUGAGGUCUGCAGCGUAGAUCCUUCGGGGUUAGAUACAUUUGUGCUAAGUUAUAGCAUUUUAUAGACAACUUGUUGACUAUGAUUUGUCUUGUAGCUUACUCGCUUAUGUUAUUUUACCUACGCUUAGGAUGUUGACGCGCGUGUGUGCGUG
rnacentral:rRNA from 1 species